GACGAACGCUGGCGGCGUGCUUAACACAUGCAAGUCGAGCGGUAAGGCCCUUUCGGGGGUACACGAGCGGCGAACGGGUGAGUAACACGUGGGUGACCUGCCCUCAGCUCUGGGAUAAGCCUGGGAAACUGGGUCUAAUACUGGAUAUGACUCCACGGUGCAUGUCGUGGGGUGGAAAGCCCUGUGCGGCUGAGGAUGGGCCCGCGGCCUAUCAGCUUGUUGGUGGGGUGAUGGCCUACCAAGGCGACGACGGGUAGCCGGCCUGAGAGGGCGACCGGCCACACUGGGACUGAGACACGGCCCAGACUCCUACGGGAGGCAGCAGUGGGGAAUCUUGCGCAAUGGGCGAAAGCCUGACGCAGCGACGCCGCGUGAGGGAUGACGGCCU
rnacentral:rRNA from 1 species